rnacentral:rRNA from 1 species
GGGUCAGUAGGUUGGUCGUGCCACCGGUACGUACUGGUCUCACUGAUUCCUCCUUCCUGAAGAACCGUAAUGCCAUUAAUUUGGUGUUGCGGGGAAACAGGACUGUUACUUUGAAAAAAUUAGAGUGUUUAACGCAAGCUAACGCUUGAAUACAUUAGCAUGGAAUAAUGAAAUAGGACGAUCGAUCCUAUUUUGUUGGUUUCUAGUAUUGACGUA